rnacentral:lncRNA from 1 species
UAGUGCACGGUCGAUCCUUUUUCUUGAGGACUUCAUGCAGAAAGCACAUGUUCAUGAUGAAUGCUCAUUCAAAUUGACUACCUACAUUCCUUGACGUAGAACUUUCGAUUUUGAAAACGAAUUGGUGUUGUUGCUCGCAGUAGCUCGCGACGGUGUGUUGGCAAAGUACAACUACGGGAUUCCCGGCUUCAACGUGAUGCACUAUGGGGACGUGAGGCCGCCAGUGUACAACCUCUCCAACAUCCCCCGUGACUUUCCGAUCUUCCUCAGCUAUGGAGGCAAGGACGCGCUCUCCGACCCGAAAGACGUCCAGCGUCUGCUUGACAGCCUCAAGCUCCAUGACGUCGGCAAGCUCACCAUCCAGUUCCUUGAAAAUUAUGCUCAUGCUGAUUUCAUAAUGGGAGUGAAUGCCAAAGACGUUGUGUACAGUCAAGUGUUGUCUUUCUUCAAAAACCAGCAGUAACUCCUAGCGGCUAGCCAAUUUUAUUAACAGGAAUCCUGGGAAAUGAAUGCAACAUGAACAUUUGCUUUCACUUCUUCUAGUCACUACCAUUGCUAAUUAGUGCACGAAAUUCAUCGAGCUUGAUCGGUCAUACCAUGAGAGUCGAGCGCGUAGUCCGUCUUUUUCUUUGCAUGAAGGUCAUGUAGACCACAGUGGACUCAUAUAAGAGUUGUAACUACGCAUCGUAUUUCAUCAAAUUGGUAAUAAAUUGUAGAUUGCAAGGAUAAUUUGUUAUCCCGUCGCACAUCGCAAAUGCCAUUCUUAGAUGAGUUCUUUACCCCUGGGACUUAGAGAGUUUAUUGUGUAAAUGCUCCACUGUGCGAUGUCAAGGAUGAGCAGAACAGGGCAAAACCAGAAACGGAAUGGGAGCAAAUGGAUGGUUUGCUUGUUAUGGCGAAACAAAAAAAAGAAGAAGAAAUCUUUUGAGGAAGGAAAAAAAAAAACGGAGGAGUAAGGGUCAAAGUGGGUCUCUUGGCUUGUCCUUGGCCGAAAGGUUUUAAGGCCUUAGAAGUCAUGGCCACAAGCUUCCAGUCUCGAGUUUUCUGUCUUCCUCCUCCUCCAUCAUCCAUGGCCGCAAGCUUUGCUUGUCCAUGGCCUGCAAGGUGGCUUGGCUUGGACGCAGUGUUGACGACUCCGUCGGUGGUGAUGGCAAGGGGAGGUACUCUAAUACCAACGAAGCAAAGAAGCUUCCGUUGUCGGCGUUGUUCGUCCUUCAAGAGAUGGCUAGAUGGAAGCAAAGGAAAGAGACAAAAAUGUUUAGGUUUUUUUUUUUUUCUUCUUUUUUUUCGCAUUAGCUACGGAGUAGCGUCGGGUGAUGUUAGAGAGCUUUUAUAGUUUGAGUUCAUAUUAUAUUAGUAGUUUGAGUUUGGGCUCAUUAUAUAUAUAUAUAUAUAUAUAUAUAUAUAUGUAUAUGUAUAUGUAUAUGUAUAUUUCUCUUUUAAUUUGAGGGAUGUAAGAGAGGUAUGAGUGCUAUUUAUAGUGGAAUCCUCGGUUAGAUGUAACCUUAGUUUAAGGGUAAACCCGAAUAAAACCUUGUCUUGAAUUCUUUUUCUUGCUUGUACUCUCCAUUUUCUUUGUGAUUAUGCAACAAAUCCUAACAUCCGGAAUCAGAACAAGGUUUGAGGUUAGAUUUCUUGGUGAAGAGAGAUCCCAAAAAAUCGAAUCUUGGGAAGAUGUCGUUGAUUGGUUAAUCAUAGAUUGAAGUAGAGAAAUUUAGAGGAAAAUGUUUCGAGUUAUGAAAAUUGAAGAUGGAGGCUUUGUUGGUGGAUAGAGAUUUUUGGCACGUGAUCAAAGAUGAUAAGCCCGAGGUGAAUACCAAGGGAAAGUCGAAGGAGGACGAGUUGAAUGACUCCAUGUCCACUAAAUUGAAGGAGUGGAACAUAGGGAUCGGAGGGUUCUACUUUAUGGUAAGUGCAGAGCAUAUUACUAGGAUUGAUUGGAACAUCUCUAGUUUUGAUGUUUUGUUCACAAUGCCCUAGUGAAUGUGACAUCUGAGAAGAUGAUAGAGGAUCUUUGGACAAAAUUGAAAAACCUUUAUUAGAUCAAGUCAUUUGUGAAUAGGCUAUUUCUAUGGAGGCAACUCUACAAUUUUCGAAUGAGUGAAGGUGAUUCAUUCUUUGCACACUUAAAUGAGUUUAGUACUAUUUGUGCUAAACUUGCAUCAAUCGAUGUCAAUCUAGAUGAAUUCAUUGGGACAUAUGAUUGUUAUAAACAGUUGUUAGUGCGUUAUCCUUUGAGAACGUUGUGGCUACCUUGUUGUUUGAGGAGAUGAGGAGAGCAGGUUCUGAUAGUGUAACGCAAGAGGCUUUUUUGGUAAGAUGAAGGAAUAAUGAACGAUUUGAGUCUAGAUUUGGUUGCAAGAAUAAGCUUAGAGGAAAAUUUAAUAACCAAGAUUGAGAACAAAUAAUGCAUUGGAAGUGCAAAAAGCUCAGACAAUCGAAGAAAUAUUGUAGAAGUAUAAGUGUGGGUCUAGAGAAGCGAGAUGGGCAAUCAUCCUCUAGUACAAAAAAGGAUGAUGACAUUAGCAUAGAAAACAUGUAUCUUGUCUGCAAUUUAUUACAGCGUGACCACAGUGUACGGAUUAUUGAGAUUGGAGUGUCUCUCCACCUGAUGUUUUAUAGAGAUUGGUUUUGUUAUUAUAAGCCAAAUCAAGGACAUACAGUGCAAAUGGGGAAUAAUACGACGCUUGAUAUGGUUGGGUGUAGAAAGGUGAAACUAUUAGGGUCUAUUUGUUUAUUUUUGUUUCUCUUCUCAGGAACAAAUUUUUUUAUUCUUUUGUUUUGGGAACAAAAAAAGAACAAAAUAAAAAAUCUAUUUCUUUGUUCUCGGGAACAAAUUUGAAACAUAAACAAGAAGUAGAAAAAAGUUGUUUAUUCUUCCAGGGCAAGGCCGACGAAGGCCGACCUUGCAUCGCUUGGGCGAGGUCGAGCCUCGCCGAUGGACACGGUGGCUAGGCGAGCCUCAUGAGGCCACCGGCAAGGCUCGGCCUUGCCUAGGUAGCGCGAGGUUGGCCUCGCCCUGGCGUGGUGAGGCCGAGCCUCGGCAGCCAUCAGGAGGCUUGACUGGCACUGAGGCCGAUGACCGGCCACAAAGAGAAAGAAGGAAAAAAAAGAAAAAAGAAAAAGAAAAAAAAGGAAAAAUAUAAUAAAAAAAAUUGAAAGACUAAAAGAAAUAACAAAAUUAUACAAGUUUAUCAAACGCAUUUCUAUUUCUGGAGUAUAAAUUUUUUGCAAUUAUCAAGCGUGUUCUUAUAUUUAGAAAUUGUUCCUUGGAAUAGAAAUAAAAAAAUAAAAAAACUAUUUCUGUUAAAAAAUUAUUCCCCUUAACAGAUUUGAUGCUCUACGUUUAGUUUGGUACACAUACUAGACUCGUCAUAUCACUUAUCCUCGUGUAAAAAAAUACUUAAUUGGGCUCGAUACCAGUCAUGUGGCUAUCGCACCUGAGCUUGAGCCCAUCUAGAUCUCAAAUUGCAUUAGUAACAUUAGCGAGACCAACUAGUGCAUGUUCAACACUAACCUAAUUUAUUCUCUCAUGGUGUACCCGAUUCAUACAAGUUUUGUGCCUAUAUUUAUGGCAUCAGACAUACGUUAUAACACAUUUAUUGGUUAAAUUAUUAUUAAAACUAAAGUUUUAAACCUAUUGCAAUUAUUCAUGUCAGUGCCAAUAACGCCAUAUAGACUAUUGGCAUCCAUGUUAGUGCUAGCCGGCUACCAAUCAAAAGUGAUAAUAUGGAUUGAAUUAGUAUAAAUACAAAAGGUUUAGAACUCAAGUGGUCAAAUUAUGAUUAAAUUGACACUAUUACGAUAAGUUUAUGAUUUUUGGAUAACUUUCUCAUGUUCAUUUGUUGCACUUUCUUUUUUAAUCUUGACCCACCUUAUCUAGUAGACCUUUCACCAUGACACAUAAAUAUUGGCUUUCCAUAUGACGGGCAUUUGUUUGGGGGGACUUCAAUGAGUUCCUAUAUAGUUGUCACUGUGACAUCCUGAUUUUUCAAAUCUGAUUUCAAUUGAAUAAAUCGGGCCUUUCAUCGACGCGUCUAUAGUGCUAUUCUCUGAGUCGAUCACUCAAGAGAUAACUAGACUAUUUGGGAAAAUUAUUAAGGGAUUUUAACCUAAAAGAGUUGAGAAUUCGACCAGGAAUCGAUUGCUCGACCAUGCUAAUUUGCAAGGGUCAUUACGACAUAAUUAAAAAUCGAUCGGAGAUUAGAGAUAGGUCGAUUUGAUUGAGAUGAGUGAUCAAAAUGUGGGUGAUUCCACCUGAUUGCAAAAUUCUCAUCAAUCAGCACUAAAUUAAUUUUCUAUCGUUUUGGAUACCCUGUGUCCAUAUUUGAAACCUUGAGAUUUUCACGAUAAUCGAGAAUUGCUAAUGUAUUGAAGAUGUACAUUGUGACUCGAGAUAAAUCGAUCACGGGUCAAUUGCACAAAAAAUUCCUAAAAGUUAUCCAGUAGACUAGGUCACGCUAAAAGCGCAUCGAAUUGAAAAUAAUCGCGAAUUUGAACCUAAUUUCAGAAAUUGAAAGUUCUGAAGUGUCACAAGCUAUUUUAGGAACGUCGACUCAUUCUCCGAAGAUUUUUCAGAGAUUCCGGGAUUUUUAUGAAAAAUCGGUUAAGAUGUUGCGGGAAAUUAGCGGAAUUCAUAUGGGCUAAAUUGAUGGAAAUUGAGACUUCUAAGCUGAGCCUUUGAGUGUCGAGGAUAUACAGAAAAUUGCUCGGGAUUUUUCUUUAGUGAAAUUGAAUGUCGAUUUGGAUAAUCGAAGAGGAAAUUGAAGCCAAAUUAAUGAAAUUCGGAACUUUGGAAGGAACCCUAAUUUUGGCUUCAAUUUAGAUUUAAUUGUGGCUUUAUCUUGGUAGAAAUAAUUAGAAGGGGACAAGGCAUUUAAUGGAAGGGCUAAGCAUGUGGACUUUUGGGGCUUUAUCCUUAUCUACCCGUGCCUUCCAACGUGGAUGAUUUCUCCUCCGCGACUUCAGCUUUCAAUUUUUCUCCUUCGGUCUUGUUUUCAUUUCCCUUGGACGAGCUGUUGUUUUCCUCUCAGUUUGUGCCUUGAGGACCGCCCACGAUCUCUCUCUCCGUUUGCCUUUUGCUCCACUGAAACCCCACGCCCACUUAACUCUCCAUCGUUGCCACCUCUCCUUUCAUUUUCAAGUGGCCACUGAAGAACAACAAAUUCCAGCGCCCAUGCGUCUGAGUCUCCAUCUUCUUCAGUCUACAGUUGAAGCCGGUGUUGACCCAAACCUCCAUCGAAUCAUCUCUCUCUCUUCGUCCAACGAUCCACCAAGCGAAGCAACUGCCGUCCAAGCUUCUGCGUCGUCCUCCAUUUUCCUUCGUGCAGCUCGUCCACCGAAGAUGCUCCAUUUGAUGCCCGCAUCUUCGAGCUCCAGGAGAUUCCAGCGAAGUCUGAAAUCAGGCCCACGGGAAUUUUGGCCCACUUUCACGCCGUGAGAUUCAAACCCUCAGGUCAGCCCAUCUUCAUGCAAUUUCAGCCCAGCAAAGAAGUCAGGCCAGCCCAUGUGAAUGUCAUCUUCAACCCAGUGAUUUUCAGCCCAUCUCCAAUAGAUUUUGAAGCCCAAGUUCAGGCCCAAGUUCAGUUGGUUUUAGCCCAUUUUGGGCCCGCGAAGAAGGCCCAAGCUUGCGACCAGCAGCCCUACAGAAGCCCAAGACUGAAACUCAGCCUUGCUGAGAUUUGUUGGGCCUGUUUUAGGCCCGGCCUAAGUUUGUUGACGCCGCCGAAAAUUUCGAUUUCGGCCACUGUCGCACCGUUGUCGCGUUGAACUGGUUUCCGCAAUUAACCGGUGAGUUUAUACUCUAAACUCUGCUUAGUAAGUUAAUGAUGUUUAAGGGGUGUUUAGAUUUAUUUUAUUAGGAAUUAGGUGGUCAAUUAGAUUAAAUUAGAAAUGUAAUUAUUUAAUUGAGCAUAUUAGGUGGUUAGCAUGGUUUAGCUAAGACCUAAAUAAAUUGUACUGUUUAUCUAGAAGGGUUCAAAAUUUUUCUGGGUCCGUAUUGGUUAUUAAUUUAAUGAUUCUAGCCUAGGUUAGUAUUUUUAGAAUUUAAAUUGAUUUAUUUAAUUCAUUUCCGUAAUUAUUUAAUUAUUAAAUAUUUUCCGGAAAUUAGGCCGGGAUAGCCGGUGACUAGAAUUUCGUGCUGAUUGCAAUGAUGUGGUUAAUUUUUGCAAUUGAGUGUUAAAUUAUGCAAAUUGAGUGCUGAUUGGAUCUUUGGUAUUUAAUUCCAAAAAUUGUGAAUUUUCAAUAUUUAUUCAGAAAAUCCCAGGUAUCGGGUUUUGGCACCAAAAAUAGUUUUUUGUACUAUUUGAAAUAGUGUGAUUUCAAAAAUAAAUAAUAUCAAUUUUUCUGGGUUAAGUUGAUCAUGUACCCACACACGAGUAAUUUCAUGUGAAUUUCUAUUACGAAGAAAAAUGCUAGGCUCAUUAUUUUAAUUGAAGCAUUUGAGUGCAAUGCACGGUGCCUUGGGCCAUAUUUGAGUUAUCGUGUGAUGGUUAAGAGAAAUCAUCCUAAGCUGUUAAGUUGGACAUUAUCUCUAUUUGGGAUACCCCUGGAUAACGAGAAGCCGGUCGCAGUAGAUUCUGGAUCCUAUGCUCAUUCGGGAAAGCCGUCUAAUAAAGAGACGUACCGUGCUCAAUGGGGUGAGACGAUGCUUGGCAAUGCUAGAAGACCGCCGAACAGAGAGUAGGCUGUGCUAUAUGCCGAGAUCAAAACUAGGAACGCUUGAUUAAUUGAGUGUGGCGUUUUAGUUAUUGGAGCUUAUUGUUGCUCAUGCUCUCAUGUUAUCUGAGAUAUAAAUUGUACCGACCUACAGGGUGGAUCUAAGACAAGGUAAGUCUUCUUGAUUGGGUGAUUGUGUGAUUAUGACACUUCUAGGCGUAUUUCCCUCCCAAUUGGGGUUUAGAGCUUAGACUCGCUGAGAUUAUAUCUCACCCUGUUGUGGGACAACAUUUUCAGAGUCGUUGAGUGGAGGACCUGGAGCUGAGAGGAGGUGAUCGGAAGUGUGGUCAAUUAGGACCGCUUCUUUUUGGAAGGCCAGUCUUUUGUAGUCUUUUGGUCAUAGACCUUUGUACAUGACUCAGUGUAUAUAUAAAAGCAUGUUUGUUUGUGAAUCUAUUGUCCUGCUUUUCUAUCCCGAGAUGAUUAUUGUUAGGGGAUUUAUAAUCUGCUUCCGCAUGUGCAAUAAAAUGGAAAGGGUCGGUGACUCAUCCUGGGAAGUCACAAAUUAUUAUCGACCAGAUAGGGAUGGGCACACGCUCCGGGUUCGGGGCGUGACAGUCGCUCUGUGAUUGAUAUUAUAUCCGCUGCAUCACCCACAAAAGCCAAUUCAUAUAAUUUUACAUUACCGAUUAUUUUCAAGAUUAGCUAACGUUCAGAAUCUUUUGUAAGUACUAAAUUUAAAUGGGAUCUUCACGUUAUAAUUGUAGUUGUAACCAGAGAAUGCAUAAGAAUUGUGCAUUGUCAAUUGAACAUGUGACUGAAUUGCUGACAGGAUUUCUGGAAUUAGAUGUGGGACGAACUGGCGGCAUUCGAUCUACAGGCCAUGUUCGACUUCAUCCACAGGCAAACUGGGAAGAACAAUUGCGUUGGCCACUCUUUGGUGAGAAAUUAGUUUCGGUACACUUCAUGGAAUGCAGUCGUUAGCCACGUAUGUGCACGAAUGUUACACGACAGAAGAUGCAAUCGACGUGCCUAUCCUUUCAAACGACUUGAUUUGUACUGCAGAUCUGAGGUUUUGCGUAAAUUUUCCAUCUGAUUGCAGGGAAGUUUGACAGCUUUGCCAUCCUUAUCAGAAGGGAGAUUUGUGGACAAGCUGCAAUCAGCAGCUCUGUUGAGACCCAUUGAAUAUCUCAGCCAUAUGAUCACUGCCCUUGUCGUCAUCACAGCCAAAACCUUUGUCGCCGAGGUGAACAGAUGACUCCGUUGGCUAUUUCCCUUAGAGAACCAGGGCAUUCUGUCCAUAUUUGUCCACCGUGAUGCCUGAGGGAGCUGCAUUUGAUGUUUCUGCAUUAUUGACAGAUCGCCAUGUUGCUGGGACUGGCCGAGUUCACUCUAAAAGCGUAAGCAAAAGAAUCCGUGGAAAUUUUGAGAAGUUCUUAUGUUCGAUUCGAAGCUUCACUUAUCUUCUCUUUUCUCUUGCGUCAUGAUCGUGCGUCUGUAUUUAGUCCCAGCAAGCCCUUGGCCGACCUGUUCCAAGCCUUGUAUGAUUAUCCUGGUGUCCAUUACUACGAUUUACAAGCCGCAUUAACCGGUAUUGCCUAAUUUUGCUGCGCCAUAAAUUGAACUCAAAUUGGGAAGAAUUAAGUUGAUUAUGUUGAUUUCAACCGAUCCAUUCCAGGCAAAAACUGUUGUCUCUAUGGUUCCACUGUCGAUCUCUUUUUGAAGAACGAACCGCAAUCAACGUCGGUCAAGAACUUGGUCCAUUUGGGUCACAGUAGGUUUAGUACACGGUCGAUCCUCUUCUUGAGGGUUUUAAGCAGAAGAACACGUUAAUGAUCAAUACUCAUUCAAUCGAAUUGGUACUGUUGCUUGCAGUGGUUUGCGACGGCGUGUUGAUGUACGACUAUGGGGUCGCCAGCUCCAACGUGAUCCACGGGGGGUACGCGAGGCCAUCAGUCCACAACCUCUCCAACCUACCCCACGACCUACCGAUCUUUCUCAACUAUGGAGGCCAGGAUCCGCUCUCCAACGAGAGCGAUGCCCGGUAUCUGCUCGAAAGCUUGAAGCUCUAUGACGCUGGCAAGCUCACCGUCCAGUCCAUCGAAGAUUACGCUCAUGCGGAUUUCAUAAUGGGACUGAAUGCCGAAGACAAGGUGUUUGGUCGAGUGUUGUCUUUCUUCAAAAACCAGCAGUAACUCCUAGCGACUAGCCAAUUUUACGAAAAGGAAUUGACGGAAAUGAAUGCGACAUGAACAUUUGCUUUCACUUCUUCUAGUCAAUUUUUUCUUUCGUCAUUUUCUUCUAGUCAUUGCCAUUGCUAAUUAGUGCACGAAAUUCAUCGAGUUUGAUUGGUCAUGUCAUGAGAGUCGAGCCCAUGGUCUAUCUCCUUUCUCUUUGUAUGAAGGUCAUAUGGUCCACGAUGGACUCAUAUAAGAAUCGUAAUGACGAGUUAUAUCGAGUGAUUUGGGUCAUGAAGGAACUUUUGCUCCUAUGAAGUUGUUUUGAGAUAACCAAUCAGCAACUUACAUUGCAUCAAAUCUAGUCUUUCGUGAAAGCAUAGAACACAUAGAAAUAGACUGUAAUUUUGUUCAAGAGAAAUUCCUGACAAAACUAUCAAGACUGCUUAUGUUCAAAGUGAAGAAUAACUUGUUGAUAUAUUUAUCAAACCCCUUUCUAAAGGAGUAUUUCAACAAAUGUUGGCCAAGUUGACCUCAGAAGGCAUCUUUGCUCCAACUUGGAAGCGGAGUGUUGGCACUUGCCAAGUCAUGAUAAGAUUGAGAAUCAAGGUUCAAUGUGUGGCAAUUGAAUUUACCAUAAAAACCAUAGGUUAUAUUUAGCAACUAGGAUGUACUUUUCUUUAUUUGAGGAGAAUGAAUCGCUCAUAAGAAAUUAAGAAAUAUGAAGAUUUCUAUAGUGGUAGGCUUCCAAGGAAUAUAUAUAUAUAUAUUUUCGGUUGAUUGAGCCACGUAUUAACGCGCUAUAAGUGGCUAGAAACUACCACGUUAGCUUCAGACCUAGAAUGCAUUUGCAAGUUUAGUCUUGGCCAUUCAUAAUUUGACACGGUGGAAUUAAAUUAAAAAAAAAUGGAAGAUUGCCCAACAUCUAUUCAUCCAUGGAAGUUUUUCUCCAUUCGAGUUGCAGUACCUCCCCCUCGCCGUGGCCACCAACGGAGUCGCCAACACUGCAUCCUGCACAUCAAAGCCGAGCUGCCCCUUUCGGCAUUGCUUGACACCGAUGAUGACCACGGACGGGCAACAUGAUGCCUGAACACCUUUCAUCAUGGAAGGCCAAAUCUUGAGGUUUGGAGAGGGACGCUGGCGAAGGCGACGAUGGCCAUGGGUGAGCGAUGUCAUACCUGAACCCGAUUCUAGAUCUAGUGGUCAAUGGAGAAGUACACAAAAAAGGAAAAGGACGAAGCCAGAGGGGUGGCUUUGACUGACCGCAAGCAACGCCGGCAGGGUUCCUCCAUCAUCCAUGGCUUAGAUGGGUUCUUUACCCCUGUUUUUUGUCCUCGAACAAACCUCUGGGACUUAAAGAGUUUAUUGUGUAAAUGCUCCGCUGUGUGAGCUCAAGGAUGACCAGAAUGUGGCAAAAAUAGAAAAUAGAAUGGAAGCAAAUGGAUGGUUUGCUUGUUUCGGGAAAAAGAAAAUGAAGAAAUCUUUUGAGGAAGGAAAAAACAGAGGAAUAAGGGUCUAAAAACAAAGUGGGUCUCUUGGGUUGUCCUUGGCCAAAAGGUUUUAAAGGCCUUAGAAGACAUGGCCCCAAGCUCCCAAUUCUGACUUUUCCGUCUUCCUUCUCCUCCAUCAUCCGUGGAGAAAAUAUUAGUUGCAGCUCUGACUCCAGCAUCGCUUCCUUCGAGUACGUGUCGCCCGGCAGCCACGCUGGAAUCAUAUGCCCGGCUUUAGCGCACAUGACAACCAUUCUAUUCCAGAAGUAGUUUCUGGAACAGAAAUAGAUUUUUCUAUUUCUAUUUCUAGAAGAGUUUCUAAACAAAAAUAAUCGUUUGAUAAUGACACAAAAUUUCUACUCUAAAAAUAGAAAUUCGUUUGAUAACGACACAAAAUUUCUUUUUUUUGGACGACGGCGGACCGGUGGAUGGCAGUGACGGACGGUGGCGGCGGCCGGCGAUCGGCAGCGGCUGGCAGUCGGCAGGCAACCGAUGGACGGUGGUCAGCGGCAACGGAUGAAGGAUUGGUUGACGAACGAUGAGAAGAAUUUUUAUUUCUCAUUUCUAUUCUAAAGAGAAGUAGAAAAUUUCUACUUCUGAUUUCUAUUCCAAACAUAUUUCUGGAACAAGAAUCUAUUUCAGAAAUAGAAAAAUAGAAUAGGUUUAUCAAACGGAUUUCUAUUCCAGAAAUAAGUCUGGAAUAGAAAAAUUGUUUCUAGAACAAAAAUUCUGAUUUGUCAUGCACCCCCCGAGAUAGCAUGUGAAAGUGGAUAGGUGAGAACUUGUACCCGUUUGGCCAUCUGUUGCACAGAUUAUCCAUUCAAAUAUCGAGCUUGCUUUAUUAAUUUUGGCUCUAUGGUGAGGCUAUUCUGUCCUGGACGUUCAUUUUAAGGCCUAUUUACCUAUUAGCACAGGAUUCUAGAAAGGUUUCCAGGUAAGCCACACCACUAACAACUGGCUUACUGAUCGAUGAUAUCUAGUUUGCUUUCAUCUAGAAAGCAUAUAGGGAGAAAUUGCUGAGAAAGGACUUUGAAUCUUAGGAGGGAAACAUGGUUUGACUUUGGUUUUACUUUAGAUGGCAACUACUCCUGCUUGAGUUAACCAGUGCUUAGAUUAGGACAAACAAUUCUUUCUCUUGUUUAGGCAUGCACACUAAUUGGAACUCCUGCCGUGUUUCCUAGAAUACGGUCAAAACCCACCAGUUUCUGUUCACACUUGAAAGCCUCGAUCCUUCAGGAUAACUGAACGUAAGGCCGCAGAUGUCGAGCACGAACAGUGACUGUAGCGCCCAUAAGAGAAGCGGUGCCUGCGAGUGCAUAACGUCUCGUCAGAUCCGUGAUUAGAAAGGAGUCAAAAAUCUCUUCGUAGGAGAUUCGUUUCUGUUUUGCUCAGGUCUGGAUGCGCAUUUCACUUUCGAGGAUCACGAUUGUACAAGCUAAUUGCACACGAGUCAUAAGCGCUUCGUGGAUUUACAUGUUUGCAAGAACUGACAGGGAAGUAAAUGAGCCCAUCCUUCGCUGACAUAUUGCCAAACACCGAAUUGGAACUCUGUGGCCAUGAUGCCGUUUUUACAUGAGGACAGCAAACUAAUUACUUCCGCACGAGCGCAAAAACCAACGGGGUUCUGAGAAAUUCCUGUGCUUUCGCGACGCCCAUCACGUGUAGCAUUGUUUUUCUACAUGUAAUUGACAUGGUCUAUCGAAUUAUGGUUAUCCAAUGGCUUUCUGAUUGUGAUAGUUGCAUUACACAUUCGGUAUUUAUCAUGAAUCUAUUGGCCAUGACUUCCGAACUAUGUUACUAGUUCCGUGAUUUCUCUUUGAUGCUCAUUUAAUACCUGUUUAGUGCCACCAUGGAUGGACUACAGUUGCCAUGGAUAUUAUGACUAUGAAAUUUUCGCCAAAAGUCUUAUGAAAACCGACCUCCAUUUUUCAUGGUUGAAAUUCCUACAUGAUAAUCAUACCAAAUAUAUUCUCGAGUUCACAUCAGCCUUUCGCCAUCAGAAAGAAGAACGAAAGUCAUAUAAAACUUUCUACAGCAAUUAGCAUUUCCCAUUCCAUUCUUUUAAAAGGAAAUACAACAUUUCAAUCCUAAUUCAGGCAAGCGAUGCACAAAAGGCAGUCUUGUCCAUCAUUAUUAUUCAUGGCUAAUCCAUUUCCUGGUUGGUUCGUUGGUUGCUUGCUAUGAUAAGGUCAGUCGGGAUCCACGCGUGGUCGAUUCCUUUUCUGUCCCCUCUCUCUCUCUCUCUCCCCCUGUUUUUCUUCCACCACCUUUCAUUUUCUCCCUCUAAACGUGGAAAACCCGUACCUUUUUAGGCAAGAAAUAUCCUAGUAAAUACGGACACGACCCUUUUUAGUAGAAACCCAGAAACGAAAGCCCAAUCCUUUUCCCACUCUUUUUGCGAGUUAAUUCCAAAAAAAGAAGAAGAAAAAACUCCAAAAUUUACAUCUAUUCUCAAAUCUACCUCAAACUUUAAACCAAUCUCAAAUUUAUACUGAAUUUUAUUUUUUCUAAAAAAAAAGAAUUUAAACUAUGAAAAAUCUUAAAACUAAUUUUUUGACCACGAAAAACCAAAAACUAGUACACUUAUGAUACAUUUACCAAAAACUAAUUUUUUAGCCACGAAAAAUUAAAAACCGAUACAUAUGUUACAAAUUUAUCACAAACUAAUUUUUUAACCACAAAAAACUUUAACCACAAAAAACUUUAAAUUGAUACGCCUGUGAUAAGUUUAUUCUAUUUUAGUUUUCGUUAGAUUUUAUUGUCAAAAUGACAGUUGACGAAUAUACUAAAUUGGGGUUUCAUCCUCUAUUUGUACCGAAAAAAUUACUAACUUUUAAUCUAUUAUCAAAUCUAUUAUCAAAUCUACCCAACUUAACAUGGUAUUUCCGCAUUAAUAAUAAAUAUACAUUGGCAAUGUGACAUGAAAAAUUAUCUUCCAAAAUAAAAUUGUUUUAGGAUAUAAAAAAUUAGAGACUACUAACAACGACUUUUGGACAGAGGGCUACCGAGGGCAAAUUUGAUAAUUCUCUUUUUGACAAAAAUAGAUUUGGGAUUUGACUUAUUAUUUGGGUUUUUUUUUUCUUUUUUUAGACAAAAAAAAGUUCGAGAUAUAUUUGGGAUUGGAUAUGAAGUUGGGAAUUCUUUUCGGAAUUAACCCCUCAUUUUGGCUCCCUCUCCUCCACCUCUUCUUCUUCUCCUCUCUCAAGAAUUUCUUAUAUAAAGGGCGUGUGUCUGUUUGCAGUUUCAGUGCUCAUCUUCUUCCACACAGAAAACCCAACUCCCCAAAAGAGCAAGAGGCAGAAGAGAAGGAGAUGAGCUCGAUGAUUAUGAGCGCGAGUAGCUUCCCCAGCCUGGCUUUGGGUUGCUUCCUCCUCGUCCUGGUGGUCGGGCUACGUGUGGCCGAUGGCUUGAGCCGCGGUUCGAUGCUCGAUGUUGGCAGCGGUGGCCCUGUUGCCCCUCCAGCUACUGCGGGCAUAUGUGCCUCAUCCUUCGUGACAUAUGGUUACAAAUGCCAGGAGUUCGAUGUAAUUAAGCGCAGCUCGCAAAUACCUUAAAUCUUCGAUUAUCUUCAUCUGUUAGAAUAAGAUUUAGCGUACUAUCUUCGGAUGUUUGUCGUGAGAAUAUAAUGAAUAUCGCGUGCAGCACUCUGUUUUCAUUGGGUGUGUUCUGUUUCAGGUGGUCACUCAGGAUGGGUACAUACUAAGCGUGCAAAGAAUACCAGAAGGCCGAACUGGGGGCGGCGGCGGCGGCACCAACAAGCAGCCUGUCCUAAUACAGCAUGGCGUCCUUGCGGUGAGUGCCUUAUUUUCCGGCUCAAGACCGCCGGACAUGUUCAUUUGCGCUGCAUAUGCAAUACUCUUAUCGAUUGCGCAAUUGGCUAUUGUCAAAUCGACAUGAUAUCCUUUAGACCCGCAAGAGCUGCGCCGUGCAUGCAUAGUUCACUUAUGUGUCUCCUUUGCUACGUGCCACAAAAUUCCGUGACAUGGGCCAGGACGUUAAAUAUCUCAAGUUGCUUAAAUAGAUAUCGUUUCUCAGAAUGUCUAUCAUUCCCAUGUUUUUGUCCUAAAGGAGGGAGAUUAUCUGUUUAUGGCGGUAUGCUGUCAAUGCAGGACGGGAUGACGUGGCUACUGAACCCACCAGAGCAGGACCUGCCCUUGAUCUUGGCCGAUAACGGGUUCGAUGUGUGGAUCGCCAACAGCCGAGGCACCCGAUUCAGCCGGCGCCACACUUCCUUGGACCCUGCCAACGCGGUCAGUACAUCUCUCUCUCUCUCUCUCUAAAAUCUGAAUCAUUGAAAGUGUCGAGUUUCAUGUGAGUCAUACAUGAGUUUUGCUGGAUUGAUGAUUCUCAUUUAUAUUGAUAUCCUUCCUGGAUCCACUGUAUCACUUAUUCUCGAAUAGGAAAAAAUACUUAAAUGGGCUCGAUAGUGGUCACAUGGUCUGUGACGAGUGGCUACCGCACCUGAACUUGGGCCCAUCUAGAUUUCGAGCCUGGAUAGGAUAUGAUUGCUUUCUGAUCCAUCAAAAAACAAUUUCUCAAUGAGUUAAGCAGUUAUUGGAUCACCCAAUAACGUAUCAUAAUCAUUGAUUGAAAAUGAGUUCAUCUAAUUUUUCAUUACUGCUCUAUUUUCAAGUGUAGCCAACGUUCAGAAUCUCCGUAUGCACUAAAUGUAAAUGGGAUCUUCACGUUAAUUGUAGUUGUAACCAGUGAAUGCAGAAGAAUUGUGCAUCGCCAAUUGAACAGGUGAUUGAAUUGCUGACAGGAUUUUUGGAAUUGGUCGUGGGACGAACUGGCGCAAUUCGAUGUCCCGGCCGUGCUCGACUUCAUCCACGGGAAAACGGGGCAGAAGAUAGAUUACGUUGGUCACUCUCUGGUGAGAAAUUAUUUUCAGUACACUUCAUGGAAUCAGGUCGUACGCCACAUACAUACGCGCGCAUGUUAUAUGACAGAAGAUGCAAUCGAUGUGCCUAUCCUUUCCAAAAAACUUGAUUUGUACUGCAGAAACUGAGGUUCUUGGGUAAAUUUUCUUUCUGAUUCCAGGGAACUUUGGUAGCUUUGGCGGCCUUAUCGGAAGGGAAACUUGUGGACAAGCUGCAAUCGGCAGCUCUGUUGAGCCCCAUCGCUUAUCUCAGCCAUAUGACCACUCCCCUAGGCGUCGUCGCCGCCAAAUCCUUUUCUGGCGAGGUGAGCAGAUAAUUACCCUUGGCUCUUUCUCUUGCAUUGCAAUUAGAGAACUAGGGCAUUUUGUGCAUAUAUGUCCACCAUGACGCCUGAGGGAGCUGCAUUUGAUGGUUCUGCAAUUAUCGACAGAUGGUCAAGUCGGCCGGACUGGCCAAGUUCGAUCCAAAAGAGUUCGAUCCAAAAGGGUAAGCAACAGAACCUGCAAAAAUUCCGAGAAGUUCUUAUGUUCGAUUCAAGGCUUAAUUUAUCUUCUCUUUCCUCUUGCAUUAUGAUUCUGCAUUUGUAUUUGGUCGCAGCGAGAGCGUGGCUAACUUUCUGCAGGCCUUGUGUGAUAUUCCUGGCGUCAAUUGCUACGACUCAGUAGCUGCAUUCACCGGUACUAACUAACUUCGCUGCGCGAGAUAUGUGCUGGAACUCGAAUUGGAAAGAAUUGAACUGAUUAAGUUGAUUUCGACUGAUCCGUUCCAGGGAUAAACUGCUGUCUCAAUGAUUCCACCGUCGAUCUCUUUUUGAAGACCGAACCGCAGCCAACAUCGACCAAGACAUUGGUGCAUCUGUCUCAAAGUAGGUUUAGUGCACAGUCGAUCCUUUUUCUUGAGGACUUCAUGCAGAAAGCACAUGUUAAUGAUGAAUGCUCAUUCAAAUUGACUACCUGCAUUCCUUGACGUAGAACUUACGAUUUUGAAAACGAAUUGGUGUUGUUGCUCGCAGUGGCUCGCUACGGUGUGUUGGCAAAGUACAACUACGGGAUCCCCGGCUUCAACGUGAUGCACUAUGGGGACGUGAGGCCGCCAGUCUACAACCUCUCCAACAUCCCCCGC